UGGGGAAUAUUGCGCAAUGGGGGAAACCCUGACGCAGCGACGCCGCGUGCGGGAUGAAGGCCUUCGGGUUGUAAACCGCUUUUGAUUGGGAGCAAGCUUUCGGGUGAGUGUACCUUUCGAAUAAGCGCCGGCUAACUACGUGCCAGCAGCCGCGGUAAUACGUAGGGCGCAAGCGUUAUCCGGAAUUAUUGGGUUUAAAGGGAGUGUAGGCGGUUGGUUAAGCGUGUUGUGAAAUGUAGAUGCUCAACAUCUGACUUGCAGCGCGAACUAGCUGACUUGAGUACACACAACGUAGGCGGAAUUCAUGGUGUAGCGGUGAAAUGCUUAGAUAUCAUGAAGAACUCCGAUUGCGAAGGCAGCUUACGGGAGUGUUACUGACGCUUAAGCUCGAAGGUGCGGGUAUCGAACAGG
rnacentral:rRNA from 1 species